rnacentral:rRNA from 1 species
CUACGGGCGGCUGCAGUGAGGAAUAUUGCACAAUGGGGAGAACCCUGAUGCAGCAACGCCGCGUGGAGGAUGACGCAUUUCGGUGUGUAAACUCCUUUUAUAUGUCAAGAAAAUGACGGUAGCAUAUGAAUAAGCACCGGCUAACUCCGUGCCAGCAGCCGCGGUAAUACGGAGGGUGCAAGCGUUACUCGGAAUCACUGGGCGUAAAGGGCGCGUAGGCGGGUUGGAAAGUCAGGUGUGAAAUCCUACAGCUUAACUGUAGAACUGCACUUGAAACUUCUAAUCUAGAGUAUGGGAGGGGGAGAUGGAAUUAGUGGUGUAGGGGUAAGAUCCGUAGAUAUCACUAGGAAUACCUAAAGCGAAGGCGAUCUCCUGGAACAUUACUGACGCUAAGGCGUGAAAGCGUGGGGAGCAAACAGGAUUAGAUACCCCAGUAGUC